AGCAGUGGUCUCACUUGGUGUAAGGAAGCUUCCGAAGUUUCUAUUGUAGUACACACUCCUCUGCUACUCAACCAUUGCUACUGUGUCCUUCCUUCUAGCAGAUCAAGAUAACCAGGUGACAGCAAAAAUGGCAUUUUUUUUUAAAAGCAGGGGCGAUUAGAAUAAGAUCUAUUACUUGAUUAUAGACGUAAACCUCCAGAAUGUAUUUUGUAUUGUUAAGUUUUUACCUCUGUCUUCAGUCCGUUGUAUUUUAUUUUAUUGCUAUGGCUAGUGGCUGUUGCAAAUAGAUUCUUCUGAUUGUCUGGCCCUACCAGCUACAACCUGAGGACUCCAGGUUCUCCAGCCCUGCUCUAGAAGUUAAAUGUAUUUUCCAAUAGUGUUUACUUCUGUCCAUAAUGGAUAUAUCUUGACAUCUCGGUUUCCCAUCUGUCAAAAGAGCCUGUUGGCUAUAAAAACCUAUGCAAUGAGAAGGGUACAGUAUAGGCAGUAAGGUAUUAAGGUAUAACACCUAACUAAAUACAAUGUAUUUUGUGCCUUAAAGGUCCCAUAGAAAAUAUUAAUGGACCGUAAUAUUUUCAUCUGCCAUUUUGUUUUUCAGCCCUGAUGAGUCUGAAAACAUCAUUACAAAUGGAACUUUGGUGGCACGAGAAGUUUCAUGUUUGGAAGUUACAGUGGAUAUUGAGAAGCUGAAGGGACAAUACACAGAAGGUGAUCUGACAUUAACAAUAAAGGGUUCCUAUGAGGAAACACAGAAGAUUCCACUGGCUCCAGACACCAGACUUAGUAACAGAACUGUCAUUCAGUUCCACUGUAUCAAGAACCAUCAGUCAAAUUUGGAGAUCAUACUAACUAAGAAG